CCGUCAAUUCCUUUGAGUUUUAGUCUUGCGACCGUAAUCCCCAGGCGGAUCACUUAACGCGUUAGCUACGGCACAGCAGGAAUGAGUACCCGCUACACCUAGUGAUCAUCGUUUACAGCGUGGACUACCAGGGUAUCUAAUCCUGUUUGCUCCCCACGCUUUCGCGUCUCAGCGUCAGUUACCGUCCAGAAGGGCGCCUACGCCACUGGUAUUCCUCCCGAUCUCUACGAAUUUCACCUCUACACCGGGAAUUCCCCCUUCCUCUCCAGUACUCAAGAAAUGCAGUUUCCAAUGCACUUCCCAGGUUAAGCCCAGGGCUUUCACAUCAGACUUGCAUCCCCGCCUACACGCGCUUUACGCCCAGUAAUUCCGAAUAACGUUCGCACCCUCCGUAUUACCGCGGCUGCUGGCACGGAGUUAGCCGGUGCUUCCUCUGGUGGUACCGUCAAACCUCAACCGUUUCUUAUCAAGGCCUUUCUUCCCACCUGACAGGGCUUUACGACCCGAAGGCCUUCAUCACCCACGCGGCGUUGCUGCGUCAGCCUUGCGGCCAUUGCGCAAAAUUCCUCACUGCUGCCUCCCGUAGGAGU
rnacentral:rRNA from 1 species